rnacentral:rRNA from 1 species
AAAUUGAAGAGUUUGAUCAUGGCUCAGAUUGAACGCUGGCGGCAGGCCUAACACAUGCAAGUCGAACGGUAACAGGAAACAGCUUGCUGUUUCGAUGACGAGUGGCGGACGGGUGAGUAAUGUCUGGGAAACUGCCUGAUGGAGGGGGAUAACUACUGGAAACGGUAGCUAAUACCGCAUAACGUCGCAAGACCAAAGAGGGGGACCUUCGGGCCUCUUGCCAUCGGAUGUGCCCAGAUGGGAUUAGCUAGUAGGUGGGGUAACGGCUCACCUAGGCGACGAUCCCUAGCUGGUCUGAGAGGAUGACCAGCCACACUGGAACUGAGACACGGUCCAGACUCCUACGGGAGGCAGCAGUGGGGAAUAUUGCACAAUGGGCGCAAGCCUGAUGCAGCCAUGCCGCGUGUAUGAAGAAGGCCUUCGGGUUGUAAAGUACUUUCAGCGGGGAGGAAGGGAGUAAAGUUAAUACCUUUGCUCAUUGACGUUACCCGCAGAAGAAGCACCGGCUAACUCCGUGCCAGCAGCCGCGGUAAUACGGAGGGUGCAAGCGUUAAUCGGAAUUACUGGGCGUAAAGCGCACGCAGGCGGUUUGUUAAGUCAGAUGUGAAAUCCCCGGGCUCAAC